GAGGAUAUAGCUCAGUGGCAGAGUGUGUGUUUACCAUGCAUGAGUUCUGGGUUCAAUCCCCAGUAACGCCA
rnacentral:tRNA from 1 species